AGUCUGCAACUCGACUACAUGAAGCUGGAAUCGCUAGUAAUCGCGAAUCAGAAUGUCGCGGUGAAUACGUUCCCGGGUCUUGUACACACCGCCCGUCACACCAUGGGAGUCGGGAAUGCCCGAAGUCAGGUGACCCAACCGGAAGGAGGGAGCUGCCGAAGGCAGGCUCGAUAACUGGGGUGAAGUCGUAACAAGGUAGC
rnacentral:rRNA from 1 species